rnacentral:misc_RNA from 1 species
AAAAUAAUCCUACCCUUUGUGAAUUUUGUUUGUUUGAAUAAUUUUUUUUUAAAAAAUUAUUGGAGUCUUUCCCUUUAGAGUUGCUUUGAGUUUGUAAAGAAUUCGAAAACAUCUAAAGGGGAUGGUCAAUAAUUUUUUGAAAAAAGACAUUUUUUAAAAUUAAACUUUUUGUAUUCAUUUGUCUAAAAUUAUUUUUAUAAUAUAAAAACAACUUUUGACAAUGGAUCUCUUGGUUCUCGCAACGAUGAAGAACGCAGCAAAAUGCGAUAAGUAGUGUGAAUUGCAGAAUACGUGAGUCAUCGAAUCUUUGAACGCAUAUUGCAUUUUUUUAGUUUACUAAAAAAGUAUGUCUGUUUGAGUAUCAGUAAAAUAUUCUCAUAAAAAUCAUUGUGUAUUUUUAUGGUUAUGAGUGUUUUACAACGAUACAAGUUGUUUCACUUUAAAUUUUUUUUUAAUAUUGAAAUUUUUCUAAUUUUAAUAAUUAAAAUUGGAUAAAAUUUUCCCGUCAAAAGGAAUAACCUAAACAAUUUUAAACGAUUAAUUUUAGCAAAAUUUUCGAAAAAAAGGAAAUUUUUAUUAAAAUAACUUGAUCUCAAAUCAGAUAAGAGUACCGCUGAACUUAAGCAUAUCAAUAAGCGGAGGAAAAGAAACUAACAAGGAUUCCCUUAGUAACGGCGAGUGAAGCGGGAAGGGCUCAAAUUUGAAAUCUUCAAGGUUUUACCUUGACGAAUUGUAGUUUAAAAAAGUGUUUUCUGCUGAAGUUUUGGUAAAAGUUCUUUGGAAUAGGACAUCAUAGAGGGUGAGAAUCCCGUAUUUGACCAUUAUUUUCAGCUUUGUGAUACACUUUCAAAGAGUCGGAUUGUUUGGAAUGCAGUCCAGAAUGGGUGGUAAAUUUCAUCUAAAGCUAAAUAUUGGCGAGAGACCGGUAGCGAACAAGUACCGUGAGGGAAAGAUGAAAGAACUUUGAAAAGAGAGUUAAACAGUACGUGAAUUGUCAAAAGGGAAGCGUUUGACACCAGUGUUGUUUUCUCGAAAAUCAAUUAAAAAUGGCUCGAUUUGUAUUGCUGAGACCUUAAAAGCUCACUGUACAUUUUUCGUGUCUUUUUUAAUGCACUUUUCGUUUAACAAGUCAACAUCAGUUUCUUUUGUUGUAAAAGGGUCAUUGGAAGGUGGCUUUCUUUUCGGAGAAAGUGUUUAUAGCCUUUGGCCUCUGCAAUCGGAGAGACUGAGGUCUGCAGCGUAGACUCUUCGGGGUUAGAUACAUUUGUGCUAAGUUAUAGCUUUUUAUAGACAACUUGUUGGCUAUAAUUAGUCUUGUAGCUUACUCGCUUAUGCUAUUUUACC